AAAAAUAGAAAAUUCGCCAGGCAUGCGGGCACAUGCCUCUAAUCCCAGCUACUCGGGAGGCUGAGGCAGGGGGAUCCCUUGAACCCGGGAGGCGGAGGUUGUGGUGAGCCGAGAUCGCGCCACUGCACUCCAGCCUGGGCGACAGGAGUGAAACUGCAUCAAAAAAAAAAAAAAAAAAAGGAAGAAGAGAAAAGAGCUCCCUGAUCUUAAUGAGCAAAGGCUGCUUCUUGAGCUUUUACAGCCCUUUGUAUUUAUUGGGUAACAAGAGCAGGGAGGAGGAGGUAAGGAUUGAUCAGCUAUUUAAUUGAUCACAGGUUCAUGUUGUUACUGGCAGGCUUCAGUUAUGCCUAAUCAUAAGAAAUACUCGUGCCUGGAUGGUGACGCCCUCGGCAGCCCUUGUGCGCAGCAGACGCAGUUUGUCAGUUUGCCAACGUUCUGCAUCUGUGAGAACAGUUUGCUGUUUACUCCUAUGGCCCCCGGUGCUGUACUGAGUUGAUCACGGCCCUCAUUCUUUCGGCCUCUAACACGCCCCUUCGCCCACGUUUUCUCCACAGCGUCGUGCCCUCUGCACUCACCGAGAACAAGGGUCUCGGGAGCACCUACAGCGUCACCUUCCAGGACACUGAGCAGGGCAGUGGCGUCCCUCCCCGGCAGCUGGGCAGGUGGACGUGGGACCGGCGCCCGGCCUCUCAUCCAGUCCAGCCUCCCUUUUUUUCACUGUUGGGAUUUAGUCUCUUCUGUCGAACAGACAGGAUUAAAAUCAGGGCUUCUCUGCAUGUGCGUCGAAUUCAUUUGCAUCUCAUUUGCAAGCUCUUUGCUUGGCAGUUGAGACGAGCUCCGAGCUGAAGACAGAGGUGAUAGAAUCUGGUGCGAUGGAUCAGAAGGGGGCUGGAGGCUGGAGGGGUCCCAGCUCGGCUGCCGGCCCUCAGCGUCCUCAGAGCAACACGCCGUUGGCUUGGCCGGCUUCCUGUCCUGCCUUCCCUGUGUUAGCUUUUGGUUCCACCCCACGUAAAAUGGGGAGACGGAGGCAGGUGGGGCCAGUCCUGGCUGGAGCCUGGUUGUAGGGAUCUGACAGCCCAUGUCACAGAGGGGAAACUGAGUCAAUUGGGGCUGGAACCAAGGUCUCUGGCUGUCUGCCCUUGGUGGCUGUCUGGUGUGGCCUGGACCUGGUGACACGGAUGUGAGGAGGGAUGGAAUUGGGGGAAGAACUUCUAGGCUCUCGUCUCCUCUGUCUCUCUAGCCCUGGGAGCCCUGGGCCUGCACUUCUGGCUGAGCGGCGUUGACUGGCCGAGGGCGGUUGAGGUCUUUCCCCCCCUCUCCCUCCUCAGCACCCAUUCCUGCUGUGUCUCCGGAGUUUGUGCUGCCUCUGGAAACAAGCAAACGGUGUGUCCAGGGCUGGGCGGUGACAGGGCCUGUGGGCUGGGGGCCCUCGUGACCGAGGAAGGAGCCAGUGAGGGUUGAUUUGCUGGCAGAGGCAUCUCAGGUAGAGAGAGCUCGGGCAGAGGCCAAGGUGGGGACCAGCUUAGGGGCUCGAGGGAGAGCCAGCAGGCCCGGAUGGCCAGAGUAGAGCAGCAGAGGGGACAGGAACAGGAUGAGAGGGCAGGGGGAGGUGGGGACAAGGCCAUGGAGGGCCUGUGUCCACGGUGAGCGUUUGGGUUUUAUACUGAGGGCUGCAGGGAUCCACACGAUAAUUCUAAGUGUUUCUGGAAAGUUGUUCUGGGAUGAGAACCCAGAGGCACUUAGCCCGAAGCUUUGAUAUUAAAUCUGAGUCCGAGAACCCUGGGUUCAAGUCCUGGAUCCCCUGAUGAGUUACUGAGGGACUCAGUGCAUGUUACUGUCUCCCAGAGCCUCAGUUUCCCCAUCUGUAACAACAGAUUAGGGUUUGUGGCAGUGCCUCCCUCACCGAGAUGCUGUGAUAAUGAGACAAGAAGAUGCCUGCGGGGCGGGGGGUGGUGGUUCACGCCUGUAAUCCCAGCACUCUGGGAGGCUGAGGCAGGUGGAUUAUCUGAGGCCAGAAGUUCGAGACCAGCCCGGCCAACCAACCUGACUCUACUAAAAAUAGAGUCAGGUUGUCCCAGCUACUCCGGAGGUUGAGACAGGAGAAUUGCUUAAACCCAGGAGGCGGAGAUUGCAGUGAGCUGAGAUGGUGCCACUGCACUCCAGCCUGGGCGACAGAGCGAGACUCCGUCUCAAAAAAAAAAAAAAAUUACACUGCAAAAGGCUCCAAAAAAUACAGAAACGAACAAGGAGGAGACAGGAACGUGCCUCCCAUUUGGCAGUUUUCUGAGCCUCUUCUUGGAGCCUCACACAGUGGUUGCCUUCAGUGAAUCAAAAUCCAUCGCGGUUUAAAUCCCGCAGACUUCUGGAGGCAGUGAGGGCGGCUCUCACCUCCCCUGUGUCCUCGCCGCUGCCCCAGGGCCUGUGCGCAGGUGUCCCUCACGCUGACGUGCGCUCCUCACAGGUCUCUGCACGCUGCCUCCUCACCUGCUUGGGGACGGUUCGGUUUUACCUUCUCCGCGGGGCUCGCCUGCACCCACACUGCCACCCUGAACCCCAAACCCGUGUGCGUUUUCAGUCACACUCAGUGCCUCUCAUACAGCAGACUGUGUUCACUUAUCACAUUUACUGAGGACUUUCUCAUCUUGAGAACAUCUCCUUCUUUUCUGUCUGUUCCUGUCCAGUUCUCACCACCCCAAACAGAAACUGGUACACAGUAGGUGCCCAGCACGUGCUUAUGGGAGGAAUGAGUGACAGGAUGAGGCAGUAAUGCUUCUUGGCUCAGAGGUGCAACUCCCAGAGUUGUGAACUUGCCGUAUGACCUUGGGCCGUGCCUCAGUUUCCCCAGGUGUAGAAAUGGGGGCACGCCGCCCACGACCCCACCAGUCCCUCCU
ensembl:lncRNA